ensembl:snRNA U12 U12 minor spliceosomal RNA
AUGCCUUCAAUUUAUGAGUAAGGAAAAUAACGAUUUGGGUGACACCCGAGUCCUCACUGCUAACAGGCGAUGAAUAUUUGAGUGGGUAAAGAUUGCCCCUAAGGAACCCGCCUCCUUUGCGAGAUGCCUGGGAGUCGCGAUCGGCUCU